rnacentral:rRNA from 1 species
AUGGCUCAGGAUGAACGCUAGCGACAGGCUUAACACAUGCAAGUCGAGGGGCAGCAUAGAAGUAGCAAUACGUUGGUGGACGACCGGCGCACGGGUGAGUAACGCGUAUGCAACCUACCUAUCAGAGGGGAAUAACCCGGCGAAAGUCGGACUAAUACCGCAUAAAACGGGGGCACCGCAUGGUGAUAUUUGUUAAAGAAAUUCGCUGAUAGAUGGGCAUGCGUUCCAUUAGGUAGUUGGUGAGGUAACGGCUCACCAAGCCGACGAUGGAUAGGGGAACUGAGAGGUUGGUCCCCCACACUGGUACUGAGACACGGACCAGACUCCUACGGGAGGCAGCAGUGAGGAAUAUUGGUCAAUGGGCGGGAGCCUGAACCAGCCAAGUCGCGUGAAGGGAAAAGAAGGAUCUAUGGUUCGUAAACUUCUUUUGCAGGGGAAUAAAGUGCAGGACGUGUCCUGUUUUGUAUGUACCCUGAGAAUAAGGAUCGGCUAACUCCGUGCCAGCAGCAGC